AAAGCUCUUGUGUGCAUAGACUAGCAUGAUGUUCUGGCUUCUCCUCCAGGUACUCUGUGUUGUGAGAGGGCCUAGGAAAUCCUGUCACGAAGCAGAACCUAGCUCUGUGAAGCACUAGACAUGAAGAUGGAUAUAUAAGAGCUUCACAUUUGCUGUGUUGCCAUCUCUUGGAAAAAGUGGGACUCGUCUGUGGAAAAGAACGUCUCUAAAUCAAGAGCAAUCAUCAUUUAGAAUGACAUUGUACCUCAGAUCAUGAUUUUGAAGCAAAAACUAAUGGGUGAAGUUUUGAUGAUAUUUUGUGCCAUGUUUGAACUGUCAUGACAGUUGCCUAUAGCUUCAAUCCUAGAAUCUGUGCCUGUGUUACCUUUGUCAUAUUUAAGUCUGCAAUAGCUUUCUCUUGAGAAAUACCCCAAGUUUAUUUGUUUAUGGGGAUAGAGCUCUGUUUUGCCUCUGUCUUCCUUUUGCAUUCAAGAAAAGAGAGUGUUCUCUUGUUUCCGUGUCUGUUUCUCUGCACAAUGUUCUGUGCAUGAGUUGCUUGAGAAGCUGGGGCUAAAACAGCUUUUUUAAAAGAAAUGGCAAUUGUUCAAGUGUUGCAAAUGUUCAAGCUAUAAUUUCUUUCAGUUUUGAAGAGUAAAGCUUUUAUAUUAAGUGAA